GGGCAGUUAGCUCAGUGGGAGAGCGCCACCUUGACACGGUGGAGGUCGGAGGUUCGAUCCCUCUACUGCCCACCA
rnacentral:tRNA from 1 species